UAAGGAAUAUUGGUCAAUGGACGGAAGUCUGAACCAGCCAUGCCGCGUGAAGGAAGAAGGCCCUACGGGUUGUAAACUUCUUUUACCAGGGGAGAAAUCUGGUCAUUUAUGAUCAGUUGACGGUACCUGGGGAAUAAGCACCGGCUAACUCCGUGCCAGCAGCCGCGGUAAUACGGAGGGUGCAAGCGUUAUCCGGAAUCACUGGGUUUAAAGGGUGCGUAGGCGGUUUGAUAAGUCAGUGGUGAAAGCUCAUCGCUCAACGAUGAAAUUGCCAUUGAUACUGUCAGACUUGAAUUAGGAUAAGGUAAGCGGAAUGUGGCAUGUAGCGGUGAAAUGCAUAGAUAUGCCAUAGAACACCAAUUGCGAAGGCAGCUUACUGGGCCUUGAUUGACGCUGAGGCACGAAAGCGUGGGGAUCAAACAG
rnacentral:rRNA from 1 species